GACGAACGCUGGCGGCGUGCCUAAUACAUGCAAGUUGAGCGCUGAAGGUUGGUACUUGUACCGACUGGAUGAGCAGCGAACGGGUGAGUAACGCGUGGGGAAUCUGCCUUUGAGCGGGGGACAACAUUUGGAAACGAAUGCUAAUACCGCAUAAAAACUUUAAACACAAGUUUUAAGUUUGAAAGAUGCAAUUGCAUCACUCAAAGAUGAUCCCGCGUUGUAUUAGCUAGUUGGUGAGGUAAAGGCUCACCAAGGCGAUGAUACAUAGCCGACCUGAGAGGGUGAUCGGCCACAUUGGGACUGAGACACGGCCCAAACUCCUACGGGAGGCAGCAGUAGGGAAUCUUCGGCAAUGGACGAAAGUCUGACCGAGCAACGCCGCGUGAGUGAAGAAGGUUUUCGGAUCGUAAAACUCUGUUGGUAGAGAAGAACGUUGGUGAGAGUGGAAAGCUCAUCAAGUGACGGUAACUACCCAGAAAGGGACGGCUAACUAC
rnacentral:rRNA from 1 species